GAUGAAGAACGUAGCGAAAUGCGAUAAGUAGUGUGAAUUGCAGAAUUCCGUGAAUCAUCGAAUCUUUGAACGCACAUUGCGCCUUCUGGUAUUCCGGAAGGCAUGCCUGUUCGAGAGUCAUUAACAACCGUUUCGAUCCCUUUCUUUCAGAAAUUACAAAGAGGAAAAGGGUUUGGUUAUGGUGGAGGAGGGAAAGGGAGCGUUCAGCCUGUAAAAAAAGAGGCUGUGUUCCGCCUCCCCCCCAAAAUUGUACAGGCGGUCGUGUGCGCCCACGCAUCGAGGUGUUGUAAAAGCUGCCACGGCACUUUUCACCUGUGCAGUGCGAGAUUGGCCAGCCGGUUUAAAAACCCCUCCAAACAAUCAAAGGUUGACCUCGGAUCAGGUAGGGAUACCCGCUGAACUUAAGCAUAUCAAUAAGCGGAGGA
rnacentral:misc_RNA from 1 species